GAUGGGGUGUGGAGAGGAUUCUGACAUUUACACCUAAAAAACAACCAGGUGAAAUGGGAAGGUGUUUUAAGGAAGACUUACCUGGCAGGGCUGUUAAGCAGACUGGAGCGAGGGGAGCAUUGGAGUUAGAGGAAUCAAUUAAAUCUCUACCAGAAAAAUAAGGAAUAAAAUGUAACAGGGCUUCAGUGAUAGUGGAUGUAGGAAUGGAAAUGGGCAGAGAGAUAUAAAUAUUACUUUGAUAUUAGCUACAGGUUUGAUGACUGCAUGUUGGGGAGACUUAGCCGAUGUGUGGACUGAAUGUUUGCAUCCCCUCAAAAUCCGUAUGUCGAAACCCCAUCUCCCAGGGUGAUGGUAUUGCGAGGUGGAGCCUUUGGGAGGUGAUUUGUAGGAUAAAAUGAGGUCAUGAGAGUAGAGCCCUCAUGAAUGGGAUUAGUGUUCUUAUACAAGCCCCCAGAGUGCUUGCUUCUCUCUGCUCUCUGGGAUAUGAAGAUAUUGGGAAGACAGCCAUCUUCGAGCUGGCAAUCCUCUCAAGGAUACAUUGACCUUGAAAGUCUCAGCCUCCAAACCAUAAGGAAUAUGCUGGUUGUUUAAGCCACCCGACACGCGGUAAUUUGUUACAGCAUCCCAGACUGACGAAGACAGUGGAGAAUGCCUCUGAGUUUGGCACUGAUUGCCUGGAGAAUGCUGAAACCCAGGGAAGUGGGCAGCACAGACGUUUACUCAUUUAAUCCUGCCAACACAGUAGGAGAUAGAGUCCACAUAUUCCUCGCUACUUAAAAGAUCCCUGCCUUCUCUCUGCUCCUCCUGUCCAUGUCUCUCCCCCCACUUUUCCCCUUCUCCCCUCCUCCUCCCAUCUUCUCCGUCCCUCGCUUCCCCACCUUCUCUCGCAGAACCCAGAGAGGAUCGCUGGCCCUCCUGCGCAUGCGCAGUCGGUGCCAGCUGGAACGAGGGUUGGAAGCUCCAGCUCAGAGCAUGGGAUCGGCCCCAAAUUCUGCUCAGCUCUUUCGCCUGAUGAGCUGGCAGAUGUAUUGGCCUGGGCAAAGCUGAGGACACAGAUGCCAGCACCGUGCCACUCCCAGGCUGGCUCCAUUCCCGUCACCUGUCACCUCCUGCUCAGUCCCCAGGCGUCAGUCAAUGUCGGUACAUCGGUGCAACGUAAGCAGGGACCAACAUCUCCCCCUGGACAAAAUGGUGGGUGAGCAGUGGAAGCCUGGAGCCCUGCCCCAGCCCCCGGACCAGUGCCUCUUCUUUUGUCACAGGAGGCACUGGUGACAUGUUUGCUCAGCAACUGCUUGGCUCUGAGUCUGCAGACCCACCAGAGAA